GCUGUCGCUGUUAUUGAGGAAGAGAGGCAGCUGAAGUUGACAGUCGAGUGUGACAGUAGAAACACUCACAGUCUUGCUUUCUACGCUCCUGUAACUUUAAGGCAAGGGUUUGACCCGUGCUGAAGACCCACUAGAAGGUUUGGAAUGGUGUGACUUAUCAUCAAUGCCUGCAGGUACGCCCUGAAGAAGAUCCGGGCUGCCGUCCGCAGUGAGGAGCAGCCAAAGGCCUCCAGCAGUGCAGAACGUAGCAAGGUCAAAGGGAGGAAGGGGGGCGAUGAGGACGGCGGAGAUGGGCGGGGCUUCAUGUCGGUCCCAUCCUUAGAGGUGGCGGAGCAGGACGAGAUGACGCAGUGCGGCUCCUGAGGUUAAAGGUUGGGGAGGCCAAUCCAUGAGAAGACACACACAGACACACACACAGAUACAUACACCCACACGGACACACUGACACGCGCACGCACACACAAACACAUACACCGACACACACAACGACACACACACACACACUUAAACAACGGCCUAUUUCUACCACUUUCACCUACACUAGAAACUCUUCACAGAAGGAUGAGAAUUAACAAAAUGCACGCUGACGACACCACCACCCAUCCACCUCUACCUGAUCAGCCUUUGUCCCUCUGGGAUCAGCGGGAUUCACUUCCUGAACAGUUCCCCCACAAUACUCGCUCUCUUCCUCUUGAGGCUCUCACACACACACAUACUGGGAUUUCAUUAGGGUUUCAAACUGAGGCUGUUAACACAAAAGCCUCUUUGUUCGUCAGACAUUUGAGAUAUAUAUUAAGGUCUGCACACACAGACACACACACACACACACACACACACACACACACACACACACACACACACACACACACACACACACACACACACAAACCCAAUCAAAGGAACACACUGAUACAAACAUUAAGUCUUCCACUUUAAGUCAUCGGCCUCUUCGGAGACGGACUGCUCUCCCCCACCGCCACCAGCUCCUCCCCCACCACCAGAAGCUCCUCCCCCAACACCCAGAGCUCCUCCUCCAUCGGAAGCUCCGCCCCCCCCACCAUCCACCUCAAGCCGCCAGUGACAGAAUUCAUGAAAGCCCGAUCGCAAAGUCCGCACUGCGGGGCCCGGUCGGGCUGGAUGGCCUGAAGGCGUCUGCCGCUGGCUCAGAGCCGCAGUCUGGAGAUUCACCUCGUCUGCUUCAGUCUUACUGUGUUGUCUCAUUGUAUCCACGAGGAGGACAAUGUUCCCCAAGUGGUGUACAAAUCUGGAAGAUGAUUAUUAAUGAAUGGAUAUUCAGACAUCUAUACGUAUUAAAUGAAAUUAAUGAAUUAAAGGGAAAAACUUUGA